UGAUUUCCCUAGUAACGGCGAGUGAAGAGGAAAGAGCUCAAAGUUGGAACCUGUUUGGCUUAGCUAAACCGGAUUGUAAACUGUAGAAGUGUUUUCCAGACACGCCUGGUAAAAAAGUCCUUUGGAACAGGGCAUCAUAGAGGGUGAGAAUCCCGUCAUUGGCCAGAGCUGUUGUCUUUUGUGAUACAUUUUCAAAGAGUCAGGUUGUUUGGGAAUGCAGCCUAAAUUGGGUGGUAAAUCUCACCUAAAGCUAAAUAUUUGCGAGAGACCGAUAGCGAACAAGUACCGUGAGGGAAAGAUGAAAAGAACUUUGAAAAGAGAGUUAAACAGUAUGUGAAAUUGUUAAAAGGGAACCGUUUGGAGCCAGACUGGCUUGAUCGUAAUCACUCUAGGCUUUGGCCUGGAUGCACUUGCGGUCUAUGCCGGCCAACGACAGUUUUGUUUGAGGGAAAAAAUUACAUUGAAUGUGGCCCUUCGGGGUGUUAUAGCUUUGUAAAAAAUACCUUGGACGGGACUGAGGAACGCAGCGAAUGCCUUUAGGCGAGAUUGCUGGGUGCUUGCGCUGAUACAUGCUAGAAUUUCUGCUUCGGGUGGUGCUAGUGUGUAAAGGAGUAACCCGCUUAGUAUAUUUUUUAUUCGCUUAGGUUGUUGGCUUAAUGACUCUAAAUGACCCGUCUUGAAACACGGACCAAGGAGUCCACCAUUAGUGCAAGUAUUUGGGUGACAAACCCAUAUGCGCAAGGAAACUGAUUGAUACGAAGGCGCAAGCUGGCAGUAUCACCCGGCGUUGACGUUUUAUACUGAACUGACCGAGGUAA
rnacentral:rRNA from 1 species